UACGGGGGGAGCAAGCGUUGUUCGGAUUUACUGGGCGUAAAGGGCGCGUAGGCGGCCACCGCAAGUCAAUUGUGAAAUCUCCGGGCUUAACCCGGAAAGGUCAACUGAUACUGCGGGGCUAGAGUGCGGAAGGGGCAACUGGAAUUCUUGGUGUAGCGGUGAAAUGCGUAGAUAUCAAGAGGAACACCUGCGGCGAAGGCGGGUUGCUGGGCCGACACUGACGCUGAAGUGCGAAAGCUAGGGGAGCGAACGGG
rnacentral:rRNA from 1 species